CGUAGCUCAAGAUGGGAGAGCGACGGUCUUAUGAGCCGUAGGGUGUUGGUUCAAACCCAACC
rnacentral:ncRNA from 13 species